UACAGAGGGGGCAAGCGUUGUUCGGAAUUACUGGGCGUAAAGGGCGCGUAGGCGGCCUUCUAAGUCGAACGUGAAAUCCCCGGGCUCAACCCGGGAACUGCGUCCGAUACUGGAAGGCUUGAAUCCGGGAGAGGGAUGCGGAAUUCCAGGUGUAGCGGUGAAAUGCGUAGAUAUCUGGAGGAACACCGGUGGCGAAGGCGGCAUCCUGGACCGGCAUUGACGCUGAGGUGCGGAAAGCGUGGGGGAGCAAACAGG
rnacentral:rRNA from 1 species